UUUGAAUUUUUCAUACAAAAUGACAGCAGAUAUUUCUGCACCAUACUAUUUAUUUUUUGCCAGAUUAAUUGAAUAGUCUCUACUUUAUCUCAUCCAAGUACAAAAUUGAACUAUAGAUUAUAUUCUUUUGUACAAACAAUAAUAUUACAUUCAUUUUAAAGAACUAACAUAUAUGCUAAAAUGAAACUAAUGAUAGUUACACUAAUAAGUGAUGUAUACAUACAGAUUGUUUCAUCAAGGAUCAAUUAUUGUUGCCAUUUAAUCAUGCAAGAAAUUAACUUCUUGCAUGCCAUUGACAGUAUUUGUCAUGUGGCAGGGACAAACAAAACAAAUUUUACAACUACAGUUUUGCAGAUUCUAAUCACUUUAUUUCAGUUGUAUUUAGGGUUCAAUAAUUACUUAGGUGAUUAAUCACGUAAUCCAAGUAUCCUAAUAAGCACAAACUCCCCUAGUGGUUAAAUUUUGAAUUAACUGCCAAUUAAUAAUAAUUUUUUUUUUUAUUUUAUACUACUGUGC
rnacentral:lncRNA from 1 species